rnacentral:piRNA from 1 species
UGGUUCGUGGUUGACAUCCUUGC